rnacentral:rRNA from 1 species
UACAGAGGGGGCAAGCGUUGUUCGGAAUUACUGGGCGUAAAGGGCGCGUGAUGGCGGCCUGUUAAGUCAGACGUGAAAUCCCCUCGGCUCAACCGGGGAACUGCGUCUGAUACUGGCGGGCUUGAAUUCGGGAGAGGGAUGUGGAAUUCCGAGGUGUAGCGGUGAAAUGACGUAGAUAUCAGGAGGAACACCGGUGGUGUAGACGGCUAUCUGG